GCGGACGUGGCGGAAUUGGCAGACGCGCAGGUCUCAGACUCCUGUGAAUCAAAAAAUUCUUGUGGGUUCAAGUCCCAUCGUCCGCACCA
rnacentral:tRNA from 1 species